rnacentral:rRNA from 1 species
AACGAACGCUGGCGGCAGGCUUAACACAUGCAAGUCGAACGCAUCCUUCGGGGUGAGUGGCAGACGGGUGAGUAACGCGUGGGAACGUGCCCUUCAGUUCGGGAUAACCCAGGGAAACUUGGGCUAAUACCGGAUACGUGCGAGAGCAGAAAGAUUUAUCGCUGAAGGAUCGGCCCGCGUCUGAUUAGCUAGUUGGUGGGGUAAUGGCCCACCAAGGCGACGAUCAGUAGCUGGUCUGAGAGGAUGAUCAGCCACAUUGGGACUGAGAAACGGCCCAAAGUCCUACGGGAGGCAGCAGUGGGGAAUAUUGGACAAUGGGCGCAAGACUGAUCCAGCCAUGCCGCGUGAGUGAUGAAGGCCUUAGGGUUGUAAAGCUCUUUCGUCCGGGACGAUAAUGACGGUACCGGAAGAAGAAGCCCCGGCUAACUUCGUGCCAGCCGCCGCAGUAA